UGUCCAGUAGCACCUUAUAUAGACCAACUAAGUUUGUUCUGGUAUAAGCUUUCGUCUGCAUGCACACUUCUUCAAAACUUAUACCAGAACAAACUUUGUUGGUCUAUAAGGUGCUACUGGACA